rnacentral:misc_RNA from 1 species
GAUGAAGAACGUAGUGAAAUGCGAUAAGUAAUGUGAAUUGCAGAAUUCAGUGAAUCAUCGAAUCUUUGAACGCACCUUGCGCCCUUUGGCUAUUCCGAAGGGCAUGCCUGUUUGAGUAUCGUGAACACCUCAACUCUCAUGGUCCGCCAUGAUGAGCUUGGACUUUGGGGGUCUUGCCGGCCUAGCGUCGGCUCCUCUCAAAUGGAUCAGCUUGCCAGUGUUUGGUGGCAUCACAGGUGUGAUAACUAUCUACGCUUGUGGUUUUCUACCAUGUAACCUUCAGCGAUGGAGGUUCGCUGGGGCUCACAGACGUCUCUCCUUGGAGGACAGCCUUUUGAACGUUUGAUCUCAAAUCAGGUAGGACUACCCGCUGAACUUAAGCAUAUCAAUAAGCGGAGGA